rnacentral:rRNA from 1 species
UACGGAAGGGGCAAGCGUUGUUCGGAUUUAUUGGGUUUAAAGGGUGCGUAGGCGGUCCUAUAAGUCAGUGGUGAAAUACUCUAGCUUAACUAGAGGGGUGCCAAUGAUACUGUAGGACUUGAGUACAGAUGAGGUAGGCGGAAUUGACGGUGUAGCGGUGAAAUGCAUAGAUAUCGUCAAGAACACCUAUAGCGAAGGCAGCUUACUGGGCUGUAACUGACGCUGAGGCACGAAAGUGUGGGGAUCAAACAGG